rnacentral:rRNA from 1 species
ACGGGAGGCAGCAGUGGGGAAUCUUGCGCAAUGCGCGAAAGCGUGACGCAGCAACGCCGCGUGGGGGAAGAAGGCCUUCGGGUUGUAAACCCCUUUCAGUUGGGACGAAGCUUCGCCGGUUAAUAGCCGGCUGGAGUGACGGUACCUUCAGAAGAAGCUCCGGCUAACUACGUGCCAGCAGCCGCGGUAAUACGUAGGGAGCUAGCGUUGUCCGGAAUCAUUGGGCGUAAAGCGCGUGUAGGCGGUCCGGUAAGUCCGCUGUGAAAGUCGGGGGCUCAACCCUCGGAUGCCGGUGGAUACUGUCGGGCUUGAGUACGGAAGAGGCGAGUGGAAUUCCUGGUGUAGCGGUGAAAUGCGCAGAUAUCAGGAGGAACACCAAUUGCGAAGGCAGCUCGCUGGGACGUUACUGACGCUGAGACGCGAAAGCGUGGGGAGCAAACAGGAUUAGAUACCCUGGUA